rnacentral:lncRNA from 1 species
GUUGAUGUAAUGCCUUUAAAAAUUGACAGUACACAUGCUUUUAAAUGAGAUCUUAUCUCUGAGUUAGAGUAAACUGUCAAGACUUAAAACUUACUUACCUUACCUUUCACCAUGGAACUUGUAACCGUCACUUCUGUCUUGAGUAGUUAAAAGAUAGAACAGUCUAGUCAAGUGCCAUGUCUCUUAUUCUUGAUCAGCUAUAGCUCUGGAGUUUUUUUUCCAGAUUUUCAAAUAAAGCUCAGAGAUUUCUUCUAUGACUCUCUCAUAUCUCUCUUUUGUGGUAUUUUUGGAUCCUUACCAAGGCAGUGAUGGUAUAUGCCUUCUCUCAAAGUAUGUAGUAUUUGUGGUAUAAGGCAUAGUGACAUUGCCUUCUAUCUCACCCUAUUCUAAUAAGGCCUUAAUAUCUGGAGCUCCUAGGUGGGAGAUAAAGUAUACAUAUUUACAAGACAUUUAUUGUAUAGUCAAACCUUGGAUCCAAAGAAACAAGUCAAUAAGUCAAAUCAAGAUGUGCAUGUGUGGCGAAUGAAUGGUGUAUGGUGAUGAUGGUGAUAACAAUGGUGAAAUCUAAUUUUACUUGUGCUCUUUUGAGGGGAUACAUACCUUCCUUGCUCUUUUGAAACUUGGGGAGAAUGAGAUGCUCUAUAUUUUCUUUUUCUUUUCUCUCAGGUGGGUAUUUUGUACCCCUAAUUCUACUGUCAGACACUUGUCCAUUUUUAUCUCUCGUCUCACUUUUUCUUUUCUUUCGAGGUUCCAUGCACUUGCCCCUUUUUAUUUCCUCGUAUAUAUUUCUUUUUUCUCUUUUUUAGAGCACUCAUCUCCUGAAAUAAUAUAGCAAGUGCUAGUAACCAAGAUAACUUGAGCAUUUAUUUCACAGGGGAAAACAGAAAUAUUUUUGGCUAUUCUCUCCUGGAUUAGGAGUAGAAUACUUUUGGGUGGUUCUGGAGAUGGAAAUGGGUGGAUAUAUGUGGAUGCGUACUUCCGGAGUAGAAGCAGCAUGUGUGAGUGAACGUGCAAGUGAAUCUUGAUUUAACCACAUGACAAGCUCCUAAGGAUCUACACAGCUUGACCACACAAAAUGCUCAUAAGCAGUAAAAGUAAAUGUGUGACUCAAAGUCUAGCAAGCAUGUAUAUAUGGCUGUGGUAGGAAUUUAAACUCUCAUCAUACAGGAACUCAUUAUGUGAUAUUUUAAAGAUUCUUCAAAGAUAAAAUUCUCCAGAAUUCUAGCAUCUCUAGGAAUAGAUUAACAGCAGCUCAACCUUCCCAUAUCAUAUCCGUUAACAACUUAAACUUCAGAUCAAGUUCUCUUCCCACAAGUUCAGAUUUAGAGCAAGCUUUAAAUUAUAACAGUUAUGUCUAAACUAGAGAGAAAACUUCAAAUUUAAAAAUUAGUCAGAGCAACUAUUCAUUAUAUCCAUACUAGAGUUUUAUUAUUAAGAUU